GAUGAACGCUGGCGGCGUGCUUAACACAUGCAAGUCGAACGAAGCAUUUAAGACAGAUUACUUCGGUUUGCAGUCUUUUAUGACUGAGUGGCGGACGGGUGAGUAACGCGUGGGUAACCUGCCUCAUACAGGGGGAUAGCAGCUGGAAACGGCUGGUAAUACCGCAUAAGCGCACAGUACCACAUGGUACAGUGUGAAAAACUCCGGUGGUAUGAGAUGGACCCGCGUCUGAUUAGCUUGUUGGCGGGGUAACGGCCCACCAAGGCGACGAUCAGUAGCCGACCUGAGAGGGUGACCGGCCACAUUGGGACUGAGACACGGCCAAGACUCCUACGGGAGGCAGCAGUGGGGAAUAUUGCACAAUGGAGGAAACUCUGAUGCAGCGACGCCGCGUGAGUGAAGAAGUAGUUCGCUAUGUAAAGCUCUAUCAGCAGGGAAGAUAGUGACGGUACCUGACUAAGAAGCUCCGGCUAAAUACGUG
rnacentral:rRNA from 1 species